rnacentral:rRNA from 1 species
GAACGACUCUCGGCAACGGAUAUCUCGGCUCUCGCAUCGAUGAAGAACGUAGCGAAAUGCGAUACUUGGUGUGAAUUGCAGAAUCCCAUGAACCAUCGAGUCUUUGAACGCAAGUUGCGCCCGAAGCCAUUAGGCCGAGGGCACGCCUACCUGGGUGUCACAC